CGUCACACAGACCGCUGCAGCAACAACAGCAGAGGAAAACACAGCUGGAAGAUGGCUACACAACAGAAGCUGACGAUGAGAGUUCUUUUUUUUGAGGGGGACACACAAAAAAUGACCAUGACUCCUAGUCCAAAUACAGUUCAUGAUUUAAUAAACUGGUUGAAGAAAUCAGUUGAACCUGAAUUCAACAAUGCGCUCUGUAACCGUACAGACAUUACUGACCUCCCUGAGAAACCUACCAUCCGAAUUAUUCCUGUCCUUGAUCUCAUCCCAGUGUCACAAAGUGAAAUAAGCAGUGAUGUGAGCAGCCAACCUGACACAGAGAUCUUGUCUACCUCAUCUCUGGAUGGUCGAAAACAGUGGCCUGAGGUAUUUGACAUUCCAAAGUUUCCUGUAGACGUGGAUUACGCCAAGGAAAUCUGAUGUAUCUUCAUGAUGGCACUUACCUGAAAGUGACAAAGGAUAUGAAGCAUGAUAUUCUUGAGAAUCUGGCAGAGACAAUCUAUGGCUACAAAGCUUACCCAACGAAGGAGGAGUUUGAAGUUGUCGCAAAAGCCUUGGUAGCAGAACACCCCUGCCUUAAAGAACAAGGCUCAUCAUCUGGCUGCCAGGGAUGGAUAAACAGUCUUAAAUUCAAAAUGGGGAAUUACAGAACAAAAAUAUGCCAGCUGGGACGGCCUGAUGUAACAGUUAAUGGAGGUAAACGUGGAAUAAACAAUGCUGAUGGUGAGACUUCUCGCAAAAACAUAAAGAAGCCAAGAAAAGGGGAGAUCAAUUACCUUCCAGAAUUACCAGAGGGAAUGGAUGUUGCAAGGCUUGAAGCUGUUCGAGAGGCCGUGGUCAAUGAAAUGCAGAGAAAAAACCCAAAUGAUUCUCUUAUUAGACAAAACAUGGACAUCACAUUUGCCCUUAGAAGGGAGGAGGAUGUAAAGCAUGAGCCUGACAUUAGCCAGAUGGUCCAACGCUGGCCAGCGCUUUUCAAUGAAAGCCAGGUCGGAUAGGCAAGCAGUUAGCUGACCUGGUACAACAGACGGUUGAUAUUUCUGUUUUUUCUUGUAAUUAUAUUCAUGAGCACUGAGCCAACAGCGAUUAGAUGUCUUGUCCUGAGAGGACUUCCAGUCAUUCUUGGGGAUGAUGCGUCUACGUUCUUUAAGAGCAGUUCG